AACCCCCUGAAAUCUGUCAAUGAACUUGCCGGAACAUUCAGAUAUUCAGGGGGCCAAAAGCAGGCGGCGUGCCUGUGAAGGAUUAUAGCAAAUGUAUAAUCACAUACAACCCCCUUGCACCGGCAUA
rfam:Pantoea stewartii subsp. stewartii DC283 WGS_Sequence66, whole genome shotgun sequence.